rnacentral:lncRNA from 1 species
AGAAAGAAACCACGACCAGACAUCUACCGAUGAAUGGGAAGAAAGAAACCACGACCAGACAUCUACCGAUGAAUGGGAAGAAAGGAACCAUGACCAGACAAACGACCAGACAUCUACCGAUGAAUGGGAAGAAAGAAACCACGACCAGACAUCUACCGAUGAAUGGGAAGAAAGGAACCAUGACCAGACAUCUACCGAUGAAUGGGAAGAAAGGAACCACGACCAGACAUCUACCGAUGAAUGGGAAGAAAGAAACCACGACCAGACAUCUACCGAUGAAUGGGAAGCAAGAAACCACGACCAGACAUCUACCGAUGAAUGGGAAGAAAGAAACCACGACCAGACAUCUACCGAUGAAUGGGAAG